AAUAAGGAUCUCAAUUUGAACUUGAU
rnacentral:piRNA from 1 species